GACGAACGCUGGCGGCGCGCUUAACACAUGCAAGUCGUGCGGUGUCGAAGGCAAGUCUUACGACAAGCCUUCGACACAGCGGCGAACGGGUGAGUAACACGUGAGUAGCUGUCCUAAGGAGGGGGAUAACGCCUGGAAACGGGUGCUAAUACCCCAUAUGCCUCGCAAGAGGUGAAAGUGUACUUGUUACAGCCUUAGGGUGUGCUCGCGGCCUAUCAGCUAGUUGGUGAGGUAACGGCUCACCAAGGCUAAGACGGGUAGCCGGCCUGAGAGGGUGUACGGCCACACUGGAAUUGAGAUACGGUCCAGACUCCUACGGGAGGCAGCAGUGGGGAAUCUUGGGCAAUGGGCGAAAGCCUGACCCAGCGACGCCGCGUUGGGGAUGAAGCCCUUCGGGGCGUAAACCCAUGUUGUAGGGGACGAAGAAAGUGACGGUACCCUACGAGAAAGCCCCGGCCAACUACGUGCCAGCAGCCGCGGUAAAACGUAGGGGGCGAGCGUUGUCCGGAAUUACUGGGCGUAAAGGGCACGCAGGCGGUACGCCAAGUCGGGGGUGUAAAGUUACGGCUCAACCGUGACCUUGCAAUCGAUACUGGCGUACUGGAGUGCGGGAGAGGGAAGUGGAAUUCCCGGUGUAGCGGUGAAAUGCGUAGAUAUCGGGAGGAACGCCAGUGGCGAAGGCGGCUUCCUGGCCCGCGACUGACGCUCAUGUGCGAAAGCCAGGGGAGCGAACCGGAUUAGAUACCCGGGUAGUCCUGGCCGUAAACGAUGGGUGCUAGGUGUAGGCGCGUCAAGCGUCUGUGCCGCAGUUAACGCGAUAAGCACCUCGCCUGGGGAGUACGGUCGCAAGGCUGA
rnacentral:rRNA from 1 species